rnacentral:rRNA from 1 species
AGGAAUCUUCCACAAUGGACGAAAGUCUGAUGGAGCAACGCCGCGUGAGUGAAGAAGGGUUUCGGCUCGUAAAGCUCUGUUGGUAGUGAAGAAAGAUAGAGGUAGUAACUGGCCUUUAUUUGACGGUAAUUACUUAGAAAGUCACGGCUAACUACGUGCC